rnacentral:rRNA from 1 species
CAGCAGUCGCCGCGGGAAUACAGAGGGUGCAAGCGUUAAUCGGAAUUACUGGGCGUAAAGCGCGCGUAGGUGGUUCGCCAAGUUGGAUGUGAAAUCCCCGGGCUCAACCUGGGAACUGCAUCCAAAACUGGCGAGCUAGAGUAUGGUAGAGGGUGGUGGAAUUUCCUGUGUAGCGGUGAAAUGCGUAGAUAUAGGAAGGAACAUCAGUGGCGAAGGCGACCACCUGGACUGAUACUGACACUGAGGUGCGAAAGCGUGGGGAGCAAACAGGAUUAGAUACCCCGGUAGUCCCUGUCUCUUAUAC